rnacentral:rRNA from 1 species
AGUGAACGCUGGCGGCAGGCCUAAUACAUGCAAGUCGAACGGCAGCACAGUGGAGCUUGCUCCAUGGGUGGCGAGUGGCGGACGGGUGAGGAAUACAUGGGAAUCUGCCCAGUCGUGGGGGAUAACGUAUGGAAACGUACGCUAAUACCGCAUGCGCCCUUCGGGGGAAAGUCGGGGACCGCAAGGCCUGACGCGAUUGGAUGAGCCCAUGUUCGAUUAGCUAGUUGGCGGGGUAACGGCCCACCAAGGCGACGAUCGAUAGCUGGUCUGAGAGGAUGAUCAGCCACACUGGAACUGAGACACGGUCCAGACUCCUACGGGAGGCAGCAGUAGGGAAUAUUGGACAAUGGGGGCAACCCUGAUCCAGCCAUGCCGCGUGAGUGAAGAAGGCCCUCGGGUUGUAAAGCUCUUUUGUUGGGGAAGAAAAGCAGUUGGUUAAUACCCGAUUGUUCUGACGGUACCCAAAGAAUAAGCACCGGCUAACUUCGUGCCAGCAGCCGCGGUAAUC